GAUGUCAGGCAAUAUUUAUUAUACACAUCUUGUUGAAGGAUUUAAAGAGAAGAUUAGCAUGGCCUCUAUGCAAGGAUGACAUGCAAAUUCAUGAAGCAUUCCAUAUAUAU